CCUACGGGAGGCAGCAGUGAGGAAUAUUGGUCAAUGGACGCAAGUCUGAACCAGCCAUGCCGCGUGCAGGAAGACGGCUCUAUGAGUUGUAAACUGCUUUUGUACGAGGGUAAACGAAGAUACGUGUAUCUGUCUGAAAGUAUCGUACGAAUAAGGAUCGGCUAACUCCGUGCCAGCAGCCGCGGUAAUACGGAGGAUUCGAGCGUUAUCCGGAUUUAUUGGGUUUAAAGGGUGCGUAGGUGGUCGGAUAAGUGAGAGGUGAAAUCCCGAGGCUCAACUUCGGAAUUGCCUCUGAUACUGUUCGGCUAGAGAGUAGUUGCGGUAGGCGGAAUGUAUGGUGUAGCGGUGAAAUGCUUAGAGAUCAUACAGAACACCGAUUGCGAAGGCAGCUUACUAAGCUACUUCUGACGUUGAGGCACGAAAGCGUGGGGAGCAAACAGGAUUAGAUACCCGAGUAGUC
rnacentral:rRNA from 1 species